UACAGAGGUCUCAAGCGUUGUUCGGAUUCAUUGGGCGUAAAGGGUGCGUAGGCGGCGCGGUAAGUCGGGUGUGAAAUUUCGGAGCUUAACUCCGAAACUGCAUUCGAUACUGCGGUGCUUGAGGACUGGAGAGGAGACUGGAAUUUACGGUGUAGCAGUGAAAUGCGUAGAGAUCGUAAGGAGGACCAGUGGCGAAGGCGGGUCUCUGGACAGUUCCUGACACUGAGGCACGAAGGCCAGGGGAGCAAACGGG
rnacentral:rRNA from 1 species